rnacentral:rRNA from 1 species
UACGUAGGGUGCAAGCGUUAAUCGGAAUUACUGGGCGUAAAGCGUGCGCAGGUGGUUAUGUAAGCCAGAUGUGAAAUCCCCGGGCUUAACCUGGGAAUGGCAUUUGGGACUGCAUGGCUAGAGUGUGGCAGAGGGGGGUGGAAUUCCGCGUGUAGCAGUGAAAUGCGUAGAUAUCGGAAGGAACAUCAGUGGCGAAAGCGACUUCCUGGACCAAUACUGACGCUCAUGUGCGAAAGCGUGGGGAGCAAACAGG